GGAACCACCUGAUCCCAUCCCGAACUCAGCAGUGAAACGAUGCAUCGCCGAUGGUAGUGUGGGGUUUCCCCAUGUGAGAGUAGGUCAUCGUCAAGA
rnacentral:rRNA from 4 species